rnacentral:miRNA from 1 species
GGUGGAGAAUUGAUUGAGCCUGGGAGAUGGAGGUUGCAGUGAGCUGAGAUCAUGCCACUGCACUCCAGCCUGGGCGACAGAG